UACAGAGGUCUCAAGCGUUGUUCGGAUUCAUUGGGCGUAAAGGGUGUGUAGGUGGCGCGCUAAGUCGGGUGUGAAAUUUCGGAGCUUAACUCCGAAACUGCAUUCGAUACUGGCGUGCUUGAGGACUGGAGAGGAGACUGGAAUUCAUGGUGUAGCAGUGAAAAUGCGUAGAGAUCAUGAGGAAGACCAGUGGCGAAGGCGGGUCUCUGGACAGUUCCUGACGCUGAGGCACGAAGGUCAGGGGGAGCAAAACGGGG
rnacentral:rRNA from 1 species